UAGACACAUGUGCUGUCUCUGUUCAUUUCCUUAUUUAUUUAUAUCAGCCCUUCCUUCCUCUUGCCAACUUCAGUGCCACAUAAGGGAAUAACAACGACAGAAAUCUAACACCGUGGGACUCCUUUAGAGACAACAGAAAAGACACUGAAGACUUCUUUUUGGAAGAAACUCCUGUGCUUUUUUUUUUUCUUUCCAUCAGGGAGUCUUAAAAACUAUAAUGAGCAUGUUAGCACUAGGGAAAGUAUCGUAGUUACACAGCACCAAAGUAUGUUACUGGUAGCCAGUACAUACACGUCUAUAGCAACCUGAAUUCCUGCCUGCUCAGAAAAAGUUCAGCUGAGGAGUCAAAAAGAUUGGUUCAGUCCAUGCCGUUAAUUUCUGUUCUGCUUGAUACUCAUGAACAUUUAGCUCUCCAAGAGUCCUGGGAGUAUUCCCUCUAUUCUGAUGUCACAAUCUCCCAAGUUGUCAGAAACCUGCCUUCAAGAGCACCUGUUGGAGUUUUACAGCGGCUUGUAAAACCACAUUCUAAUGAGGACAAAAACAAGACAACAAUUGUCCAUGGAUGAAGAAACAGAUCUUAAGGCAGCCAUAGUCAAAAGAUUUAGCAGAGGCCAGGCACCAUGAAAUCCGAGCACUUUGGGAGGCCAAGGCAAGUGGAUCACCUGUGGUCGUGAGUUCGAGACUAGCCUGAUCAACAUGGAGAAACCUUGUCUCUACUAAAAAAAAAAAAAAGCCAGGACACAACUGGAGACAUUGGAUAUUUUAUCAAGGCUUUGACUGGAAUGAUAUUUUUUCAGAAAUAACCAAACUGCUUUGAGAAAUCAAAAUUGACUUUAUAGAGCUGAGAAAAACCCCUUGGAAAAAAUGGCAUGGUACCCUCUCUAUGCAAUUCCUUUACAAAGCUCCUGACCUGUGAUGAGUAAAAAAAUGUCACUUUCUGAAAGACCCAGAACGUCGAGUUACUUUGGAACCUUGACAAGAGAGGAAUUCCCCCAAUUUGUACAGUUAUCUGUUUACACAGCUAUCUGAGGCACAAAUAAAUCCUUGGCUGGGGUUGAGAGGCCUUUAAAAGUCUAAUCUGAGAUUUCCUUAUGAAAAAUUUUCAGCAAAGCCAAUUCAAAAAGAGCCUAUUGGCCAAUAAUUACUCUUGCUUCACUUUAUGCAAA